AUACGUAGGGUGCGAGCGUUGUCCGGAAUUACUGGGCGUAAAGAGCUCGUAGGUGGUUUGUCGCGUCGUCUGUGAAAUUCCGGGGCUUAACUCCGGGCGUGCAGGCGAUACGGGCAUAACUUGAGUACUGUAGGGGAGACUGGAAUUCCUGGUGUAGCGGUGAAAUGCGCAGAUAUCAGGAGGAACACCGGUGGCGAAGGCGGGUCUCUGGGCAGUAACUGACGCUGAGGAGUGAAAGCAUGGGUAGCGAACAGGAUUAGAUACCCUGGUAGUCCAUGCCGUAAACGGUGGGCGCUAGGUGUAGGGGUCUUCCACGACUUCUGUGCCGUAGCUAACGCAUUAAGCGCCCCGCCUGGGGAGUACGGCCGCAAGGCUAAAACUUAAAGGAAUUGACGGGG
rnacentral:rRNA from 1 species